rnacentral:rRNA from 1 species
UACGGAGGAUCCAAGCGUUAUCCGGAUUUAUUGGGUUUAAAGGGUGCGUAGGCGGCCUAUUAAGUCAGGGGUGAAAGACGGUAGCUUAACUAUCGCAGUGCCCUUGAUACUGAUGGGCUUGAAUGUACUUGAGGUAGGCGGAAUGUGACAAGUAGCGGUGAAAUGCAUAGAUAUGUCACAGAACACCAAUUGCGAAGGCAGCUUACUAAAAGUAUGAUUGACGCUGAGGCACGAAAGCGUGGGGAUCAAACAGG